AGGGCAUCAAUGAUGAGAUGAUUAAAUUGUUAUCCUUGAACUUUGAUUGUCAGUGAAGAAACAAAGUGGGCAUUUUUAUAUCUGAGAUGCUU